UCAAGAGGAUAUAUGAAACGUUCAGUUCGCAGUAAGAAAAGAAGCCAAUGCUUCGUUACAGAAGAGUCAGUUGCUCAGCUUGAAGGUAUUCUAGAAUUUGGGGAGACAACCGUGAUUCUAUCAUGGUACUGAACAUCACCAACAUAGACCCUUUAAAUUGCAAACGUUGUAAUUUCUUCUUUGAUUCCUCAUUGACUACAGGAAGUUUAGAUAUUGUUCUGUACAAAGCUUUAAUGGAAGACAUGGAAAUGUACAUUAAGGAUGGAAUAACGCUCAAGACCUCAUCCUGGAAUGUGGAAAACUCAAAAGCGCGACGCCGUAAACGUGCAGAAAUUGGUGGAAUUUGUUCAUUGGGUUCGAAUUCAGCUUGCACUUCAUUGAUUGGCAAAAGAUCCAAAUGUUCAAUUAGCUGAAGAACUUCGUCCCAUUUUUCUUGACCAUACAGUUUUUGUACUUUGACAACUUUAAGCAGAACUUUUAAUGCCUUUUUGUUGGUUGCUGAAACUUUUGCACUUUUCUUUGGAUUGGAUUCGUACAUUGCUAACAGAUUUGCAGCCAAGGCAUCUGGAGCUUCACUAGCUACAACAUUAGAAGAAAUAUGCAUAUUUUUACUUUCUUUGGAAUCGAUAGACCAUAAACCUCGAGAAACAAUACUUUGACUAAGGUUUUUGAUAGCAACACCAAUCACUGUAUCGUAAUCCCCGAGCAAAUGGUAUAGUAUGAUUGAGUCCCCAAACCGUCCAUCAUCGUCUGCCUCUCUAGCGCCUUCCAAAUACAACUUUUGUAAUGAGUCAU